GACGAACGCUGGCGGCGUGCUUAACACAUGCAAGUCGAACGGAAAGGCCCUGCUUUUGUGGGGGGCUCGAGUUGCGAACGGGUGGAUAACACGUGAGUAACCUGCCCGUGACUUUGGGAUAACUUCUGGAAACUUGGGCUAAUAGGGGAUAUGAGCGCCUGCUGUGCGGGGGGGGGUGGGAAGUUUCGGCGGUUGGGCUAGGGGUUGGGGCUGAUCGGCUUGUUGGUGGGGUUGUGGGUUAGCAAGGCUUUGACGGGGAGCGGGCCUGGGAGGGUGACCGGCGAUACUGGGCCUGAGCUUAGGCGCAGCAUCCUACGGGAAGAAGGAGUGGGGAGUAUUGGACAAUGGGCGGAAGCCUGAUGCAGCAACGCCGCGUGCGGGAUGAUGGCCUUCGGGUUGUAAACCGCUUUCGCCUGUGACGAAGCGUGAGUGACGGUAAUGGGUAAAGAAGCACCGGCUAACUACGUG
rnacentral:rRNA from 1 species